CCUACGGGUGGCAGCAGUGAGGAAUAUUGGUCAAUGGGCUUACGCCUGAACCAGCCAAGUCGCGUGAGGGAAGACUGCCCUAUGGGUUGUAAACCUCUUUUGUCAGGGAGCAAUUGGCGCUACGUGUAGCGUGAUCGAGAGUACCUGAAGAAAAAGCAUCGGCUAACUCCGUGCCAGCAGCCGCGGUAAUACGGAGGAUGCGAGCGUUAUCCGGAUUUAUUGGGUUUAAAGGGUGCGUAGGCGGAAUGCCAAGUCAGCGGUAAAAUCGCGGGGCUCAACCUCGCUCCGACGUGGAAACUGGCGUUCUGUAGGGGGCGAGAAGUAUGCGGAAGGCGUGGGCAAGCGGCGAAAUGCAUAGAUACCACGCAGAACUCCGAUGGCGAAGGGAGAAACCCGGCGCCCAACGGACGCGGAAGCACGAAAGCGUGGGUAUCGAAAAGGAUUAGAUACCCCAGUAGUC
rnacentral:rRNA from 1 species